GGGGAAUCUUCCGCAAUGGGCGAAAGCCUGACGGAGCAACGCCGCGUGAGGGAAGAAGGCCUUCGGGUUGUAAACCUCUGUUUUUAGGGACGAAGAGAUGACGGUACCUAAAGAGUAAGCUCCGGCUAACUACGUGCCAGCAGCCGCGGUAAUACGUAGGGAGCGAGCGUUGUCCGGAAUUACUGGGCGUAAAGGGCGCGUAGGUGGUCCAUUAAGUUACUGGUGAAAGUUCGGGGCUUAACCCCGUGAUUGCCUGUAAUACUGGUGGACUUGAGUGCAGGAGAGGGGAGUGGAAUUCCCAGUGUAGCGGUGAAAUGCGUAGAUAUUGGGAGGAACACCAGUGGCGAAGGCGGCUCUCUGGACUGUAACUGACACUGAGGCGCGAAAGCGUGGGGAGCAAAC
rnacentral:rRNA from 1 species